CUUCCAUGCAAAUGUAGGAAAACUUAGACCCCUCUGUGCUUGCCCUUCCGGCACCAUCACGCUGUGACCCCGUGACUAUGUCCUGGAGUGGGAGCUGGGUCAGGGCGGGGUCUUCCCACGUCCUGGGCACUGAACCCCCCUCCACUUAGCAGAGAGCUUGGCAUGAACAUCGUGCUGAAAGGAUAAAGAGAAUGAGGGCUUGGGUCCGAGCCCAGAAACCAUUCAGGCAUGACCCACGGCCCCUGCGCUGUCCCGUCUGCCAGGGGGGCCCUGAGCGCCUCCAAGCACCGCCGGUUCCCCGCGGGGAUCUCAGGCCAUCCUCACAGGCCAGAGGCAAUGGGGAGAACCGGCUUCCAACAGCCGUAGGACGUAGGACGGGUCAAACACCAGAAAGACCGCCCCUGUGGAUCCGCCGAUGGGCGAAAGGUGACUCCUCAGAUCCUGCCCCAGGGGCUGCGGCCGCCGACCCCGGAGGCUUGACACCCGCCGCGGACCCCGCUGCGCCCCAAAAGGCGGCCCAGGAGCCCGAGGGCUCUACCCCGCAUGGAGAGGACCAGAGCCCACUGAAAUCCCUGGUAAGCAGAGGUCUCACGCUCGCGGGACAUGGCCUAGAAGGAGCAGAAAAAAGGCUGGAUAAGGGACGUCAAUUCAGGAAAAAUCUUUAUGACCGUGGAGCCGAAUUUGGACGAAAUCUGAAAAAGCUUGUUCCACAAUUCAAUUAGAUGGAGUCUGAGACGCCGAAGAGGAGGGGUCCCGGGACUCCAGGCCUCAGCCGCGCCGCAGCCCCACGUGAUUAAACUGAAGCAUCCCA
rnacentral:lncRNA from 12 species